rnacentral:misc_RNA from 1 species
AAAAAACCCAUUCCACAAGAAGACUUGAGAAAACUAAUUCAUUGAAGGUGCUACAAAAACAAUAUGGAUUUUGAUAACCCGUAGAAACCCAUUUCAUAUGAAAUUUUUGAAAUGCAAAGCAUCACUUAUUCAAAUUCCUGCAGUAUUCAGUAUGGUGCAUCUGCAAGUCCUAAACGUAUCCACCAUUGGCACGAAUAACCUGUCCAUUAAUCCACUCACUAGCAUCAGUAGCCAAGAACCCAACAAUAGGUGCAAUGUCCUUGGUCUCGCCAAGCCGGCCUAGUGGACACUCAUCUAUGUUCUUCCGAAUUUGCUCCUCAGUCUUCCCAGAAAAAUACAUCUCUGUUGCAAUAGGACCUGGUGCAAUGCAAUUUGCAGUAAUCCCAGUUCCCUUGAGUUCCUUUGCUAAUAUCUUUACCAUUGUCUCUACUGCUGCUUUUGAAGCUGCAUAUACACCAAAGCCUGGCUUCAAUCCACCUACCAUAGAUGAUGAUACCAAUAUUAUUCGGCCACCACCAUCGCGUUUGAGCCGAUUUGCCGCCUCUUUGCAGCACAAGAAUGCACCUUUCGUGUUAACACUGAAAGUAAGGUCAAAAUCCUCCAAGGAAGUGUUAGCUAUGGAUGGAUACUUGGGAUCCAACACUCCAGCUGAGUUCACCAAGACAUGAACGGGCGACCCAAAAACCCUCUCAGCCUCAUCAAAAAGAGACUUGACAUGGGAUGGAUCGGAGACGUUGGCUUGGACUGUUAUGGCACGAGGGGAAUGAUUGUGAGGAAAAGAAGAAUUGAUCUCUUCGGCUACAAGUUGAGCCUGGUCCCUGUUGGAAGAGUAGUUGAUGACAAGUUUUGCAC